GCUCCCUGAUGUUAGCGGCGGACGGGUGAGUAACACGUGGGUAACCUGCCUGUAAGACUGGGAUAACUCCGGGAAACCGGGGCUAAUACCGGAUGCUUGUUUGAACCGCAUGGUUCAAACAUAAAAGGUGGCUUCGGCUACCACUUACAGAUGGACCCGCGGCGCAUUAGCUAGUUGGUGAGGUAAUGGCUCACCAAGGCAACGAUGCGUAGCCGACCUGAGAGGGUGAUCGGCCACACUGGGACUGAGACACGGCCCAGACUCCUACGGGAGGCAGCAGUAGGGAAUCUUCCGCAAUGGACGAAAGUCUGACGGAGCAACGCCGCGUGAGUGAUGAAGGUUUUCGGAUCGUAAAGCUCUGUUGUUAGGGAAGAACAAGUACCGUUCGAAUAGGGCGGUACCUUGACGGUACCUAACCAGAAAGCCACGGCUAACUACGUGCCAGCAGCCGCGGUAAUACGUAGGUGGCAAGCGUUGUCCGGAAUUAUUGGGCGUAAAGGGCUCGCAGGCGGUUUCUUAAGUCUGAUGUGAAAGCCCCCGGCUCAACCGGGGAGGGUCAUUGGAAACUGGGGAACUUGAGUGCAGAAGAGGAGAGUGGAAUUCCACGUGUAGCGGUGAAAUGCGUAGAGAUGUGGAGGAACACCAGUGGCGAAGGCGACUCUCUGGUCUGUAACUGACGCUGAGGAGCGAAAGCGUGGGGAGCGAACAGGAUUAGAUACCCUGGUAGUCCACGCCGUAAACGAUGAGUGCUAAGUGUUAGGGGGUUUCCG
rnacentral:rRNA from 1 species